rnacentral:lncRNA from 1 species
AGUUGGCAGCGGAAGCGGGGUUUCGGGAGUGGUGUGGAGAAAGGGGGCGGCGGCGGCAGCAGAGGUAGGAGGCAAGAAGGACGGUGGAGAGGAGGACGAGGAAGGCAAAGGCGAUGGCGAUGGCGUAGCCGAGGCCGAGGUUGGAGAGGUAGGUGGGAGGAGGAGGAGCGGCAGCGGCGGCGGCGGCGGCGGAGGCGUAGGAAGAGGGAGUGAUGGGGGUGGUGGACAUUGGAAGUGUGGAGAGUGAAGGGCCAUUUGGAGAGAGAGGAGAGAGGGAGAGAGAGGGAAUAGUGGAGAUUUUUUUUGAGGGAGGGAGGUGGGUGGAAU